UACGUAGGGUCCGAGCGUUGUCCGGAAUUACUGGGCGUAAAGAGCUCGUAGGUGGUUUGUCGCGUUGUCCGUGAAAACUCACAGCUCAACUGUGGGCGUGCGGGCGAUACGGGCAGACUGGAGUACUGCAGGGGAGACUGGAAUUCCUGGUGUAGCGGUGGAAUGCGCAGAUAUCAGGAGGAACACCGGUGGCGAAGGCGGGUCUCUGGGCCGAAACUGACGCUGAGGAGCGAAAGCGUGGGGAGCAAACAGG
rnacentral:rRNA from 1 species